rnacentral:rRNA from 1 species
UACGGAGGGAGCAAGCGUUACUCGGAAUUACUGGGCGUAAAGGGCGCGUAGGCGAUUUUAUAAGUCUUGUGUGAAAUCCCUCGGCUUAACCGGGGAACUGCGUCUGAUACUGGAUGGCUAGAGGUUGGGAGAGGGAUGCGGAAUUCCAGGUGUAGCGGUGAAAUGCGUAGAUAUCUGGAGGAACACCGGUGGCGAAGGCGGCAUCCUGGACCAAUUCUGACGCUGAGGAGCGAAAGCCAGGGGAGCAACGGG